UGAACAAAAGAGACACAAAGACAGCUCUGCACAGAGCUGCUUACCAUGGUCACAAGGAUAUCGCUGAAGAGCUCAUCAAAAAUGGAUUCGACGUUAAUGUUAGAGAUCAUUUGAAUCGGACACCUCUUCAUUAUGCUGCUAAGAAAGGUAACAAGGAUAUCGCUAAAGAGCUCAUUCGUAAAGCAGACAAUGUCAAUAUUGGAGAUGAAUCUAACCUAACACCUCUUCAUUAUGCUGCUAAGAAAGGUCACUCCGAUAUUGCUAAAGAGCUCAUCGGUAAGGGAGCCCAUGUUGAUAUCGGAAAUCAUUUGAAUUGGACACCUCUUCAUUAAGCCGCUGAGAAUGGACACAAGGAUAUUGUUAAACUUCUUAUCGGCCAAGAAGCUAAAGUCAAUAUUGGAAAUGAAUUUAAUCAGACACCUCUUCAUUUAGCAGCCAUGAAAGGUCACAAGGAUGUCGCUGAAGAGCUCAUCAAUAACGGAGCCGACGUGAAUUUUAAAGAUUAUUUCAAUUGGACACCACUUCAAUCAGCUGUUCACAAUCGUCACAAUGAUGUCGCUAGACUUUUUAUCGGUGAAGGAAAGAAAGUUGAUAAUUGAACGCUGCUGACAAUGGUGGCGAAUGGCUGAACUAAUUUAGCUGAAUAAUCGGAUGAUUUUUUUCUAUGCCCAUACUCGAUUAUCGAUUAUUAUUCUGUCAAAAAAAUAACUCCAGUUAUUUGUCUAUUAAAUUGCUUACGGUAUUAAAUAUUAGAAUUAUAUUUUGUUGGAUUUGGGCUCUCUGAGAAAUGUGAGGCUUUUUAAUUUAUCCACUGUCACCACCAAUGUAGAAUACUACAGCCCAUUAUUACGCUUGCAUCGUCAUAGUAUCCUUGAAACCAAAACAUUGUUGUUUUUAGGCGAAGGUCCUGCAUCUAAGCGUCUGACAGCUCACUUCUAGCGCUACAAGACAAGUGUCAAAAGUUGUGACACAGAUCGUUCAAUGUAUUAUUGAAUCUUUUUUAUAUUUGUUAAUAAAGUAGACAAAAGCCACGAAUGUGGAAAAUUGAUUUUUGUGAGAGCGUAGCACGUGAUAAACAUCAAUUUUAUAAGUAAAAAAUGUUUUUUUCAUUACGGAACAUUGUUGAUGCGUUCAAUUUGUCGCGUUCAUGAUUGCGUCUAACGACGUAAAGAAUUGAAAUGAUCUUUACUGAAUGCGCUCAUCGCAAAUUCGUGCUUUACUUUGUUUUGUUAGUGUGGUGCAGGGGUUGUGUU